UACGUAGGUGGCAAGCGUUGUCCGGAUUUACUGGGCGUAAAGAGCGCGCAGGCGGUCUUUUAAGUCGAAUGUGAAAGCCCCCGGCUCAACUGGGGAGGGUCAUUCGAUACUGAUCGACUUGAAGGCAGGAGAGGGUAGUGGAAUUCCACGUGUAGCAGUGAAAUGCGUAGAGAUGUGGAGGAAUACCGAUGGCGAAGGCAGCCCCCUGGGCCAAUACUGACGCUCAUGCACGAAAGCGUGGGGAGCAAACAGG
rnacentral:rRNA from 1 species